rnacentral:misc_RNA from 1 species
GAUGAAGAACGUAGCGAAAUGCGAUAAGUAGUGUGAAUUGCAGAAUUCAGUGAAUCAUCGAGUCUUUGAACGCACAUUGCGCCCCCUGGUAUUCCGGGGGGCAUGCCUGUCCGAGCGUCAUUGCUGCCCUCAAGCACGGCUUGUGUGUUGGGCCUCCGUCCUCCUCCCGGGGGACGGGCCCGAAAGGCAGCGGCGGCACCGCGUCCGGUCCUCGAGCGUAUGGGGCUUCGUCACCCGCUCUUGUAGGCCCGGCCGGCGCUUGCCGACACAUCAAUCUUUUUUCCAGGUUGACCUCGGAUCAGGUAGGGAUACCCGCUGAACUUAAGCAUAUCAAUAAGCGGAGGA